rnacentral:ncRNA from 2 species
UAAUAACCGAGUCUCCGAGUCUACCUGCCUAAAGCUCUUGUCAUGGCAGACUGACCGACAGGGUAUGCCGGGAAACUGGUAUGCCUCCCAUAGCGGAAAGGAGAGAUGUGUUUUGAAAA